UUCGCCAGGGCUAGAAGACUUUUCAGUUCUGCAACGCAACGGUCAUUUUGUUGUAUCAGUUUCCGAUCCAAGAUUUCAUCGGCCUCAAGCUCUAGGAUUUCUAAUGUCCUGUAUGCAUUAGUUGACUGAAAUCAGCAGUAGCCUUCUUGAUUUCUUCAAGAUUAUACUCAAUACCAUAACAACAUUUGGGUGAUCUUGGGUUGUUAACAGAUUGCUCGAUAUUACUUUCUUGAGUGCCCUCAGCAUUUUUGCUUCCCUCAGAAUCUUCUCCAUCUUGGGUUAACUGUGGUUCUCGGAUUAAUCACAGUGUAAUUGUUCACCACAGUCGCCUCUCUUCUUCUUGAACAGCAACAACACCAUUGCAAAAGACCAACGAAGAAAACAAAAAAGGCUCCAAAAACCAAUAUUGGGUAACCAACCUAUUGAAGUAACCCGUAAUUCCAACCUGCUUGUAUUAGUAUUGUUGUGGAUCAGUGGUAAAGAGGUUUUUCUGAAGAAUCGAAUUCUUGAAUAUUCAACAAAUGGUUCAUACAUUGAAGUUUGGUUGAAAGAAGACGAAGGUUCUUGUGGAGGUGAUGUAAUUCGAUGAACAUUGAAUGAUUUGCUUCAAUGGAGUAAACGAUUGGUAUGCAGAAGCAACUUAAUAACAAGAAAAUUGAAGCGUUGAGAGAAAGAUAGCUCAUUUUUUCUGAGAGAUUACUGGAAGAAGAUUGAGGAAGAAGAAGUUUUAGUGCCAGGGAGGGAGGAGGAAGAAGAAGAUUUAGUGCCAGGGAGGGAGUUCUGAAGUAAUAUUACUACUCCUAUUUGGUUUCACGAAAGAACUUUUUUUUCUAUUUGUAUAAAAAAACGUUAAAACGGGGAUACUGCUGGGUGUGUUCCGUAAAAUUCGUUUUUUUCGCUCUCUCUCAAAAGUCAAAACUAAUCCGGACCGGAGUGAAAGGGUUUCCAUUCACUCAGCUACUCAGUUCCACUUACAGCUGAAGAUUUGUAUCGGGUAGUAGAAGCCUAAUCAAUUUGAAGUUUGAACCUAAACUGCAACUAGAAGUAGUGAAAUGUUCCCGCAGCAAGUAAGGUAUUCAAGGUUUCAGGCUUAGAUUACCUUUUAUCUCUGUGAUUAAUUUUGUUUUUCUUUUUCAUUUUGGGAUUUUCUCAAAGUCUUGCUUCUUUCUGGACAAGUAUUUCUCUUAAAUGUUGGCAAUUAAUCACGUUGUAAUGAUUAUUCAGUGCGUUGCUUUGCUCAAGUUGGUCCUGAUUUCAAUAGGAAUACACGGCUCUAAGCCUCUUGAGCUCUAUGAAGACUAAUCUUAAUUACAUACUUCCCUGGCUUAGGUACUACUAUAAUCCCACUAUUAACCUUUCUUACUCUCAUUUCCGGAAAUUGGGUUUUGAUUUUCUGAUGGGGAAGUUGUGGCAUGUCUGACAUGAAUGGGAAUCGAACUGAAUUCUGAUGGGGAAGUCCCUACAAUCUAGGUAAUAGUAUCACAAUCAAACUGAAUCCAUUCUGAAGCAUAACUCAGGAUAUUUUUGACUAUUGAUGUCUCUAGUGGUCAACUAGAGAACAGUGAUUGUCUAGCGGAAUUCGCCUGUCGUGAAGGCAUUCUGGAGUUGUAACCAUACCAUGAGGAGAUCUCAGCUAAUUUUAUUUCGAUGAAACUGAUGCUGAAGAUAGCUAGCUUCACUAUGAGUCUGAGUGUAUCUCAUGAGAAGAAUUGUCUCACUAUGAAAAAUUUAAAAUGAUGAUUAAUAGAGUCAAAGAGGAUAAGUUGCACAGAUGUCAAAGGAUUGCGUGAGAAAGCUAUUUCCUUUAUGCCGUUUGCCUCCCCUGGAAGUAACAGAAUCAAUCUUGGUUGGGCGGCUGAAGGGGAUUGCUGCUGAUAACAAAUUAGAUGUAUGUUCGAAUGUCAUUGAGAAUGGUUGUGGGGUAUCUCGAAAUUUAUAGCAUUUUCGUGAAUGAGGUCGAAGCUGUUUAAUGUGCCUUCCAGUGCAUCUAUUUGUGCAGUCUUACAGAUAGAUGGAAUACAAUGGCGUCCAUUUUGUCAAAGCUUCCAAAACUCUAAGAUAGUGGCAUAAAUGUUGGUGGUCUAGAGAAAAGAGUACAAACUGUAGAAGGGCAUGUUGACGCAGGGAGACUCAUAGCAUUGAUUACCAGGUUCCAAAACCAAUUAAGUUCUUACUAGAAUCUCAGUCAGAUGCAAAGGGUGUAAUACAAAUUCUUCAUCUUAUUAUCUCUAAAUUUGACCACCAUCAACCUGGAAGAUCAGAUAACAAUUGGGCAAAAAUUUGGCGAGUUAUGCAAUGUUAUCAGAAAAAAGGCAUUUCCUUUUCUGGACUUGGAAUAUAUGCUGAUGGAAUUCUGUAGAGGACUGCUAAAAGUUGGGAAAUUUUCCCUUGCAAGGAACUAUUUGAAAGGAACCAGUAUAGUGUGUUUGGCAACAGAAAAGGCAGUUGUUAUCCAAGCUGGAAGGGAAUACUUCUUCUCAGCUUCUAGUCUUGCUUGCAUGUAAUCUGAAAAUGCAGCUUUCUAACUACUUCCUCCGUUUCUGGAAAAUAGAUACUAUCACUUUUUCAAUUUGGCCUAUUUUUAGGCUAAAAUGAAACAGUUAAAGUAUCUAUUUUCCGAAAACAGAGGUAAUAUAUCUUAUCGUUAUAUGGAUUCACCUUGAACUGAUUUUGCUUGUGUUCUAGUUUAUCUUUUUUAGUUAGUAGUUUAUAGCUGAAGAAAAGACAUGGGCCUGUUUGGUGCAAUAGCAAGGGGUUCCUUCCUUAAUAACAUGGAUGGUAGCUCAUGAAAGCAGCUUUAGGGUUUUCUUUGGCCGUUGCGACAAGGAGUGUAUUAGUGAGAUUCUUCUUGCAUGGAAAGAUUUGGAUAUGUGAAGUCAAUAUCAUACACUUGCAAAGUUAUAGGGUACUACUCUUUCAAAUGCGUCUAUUCAAGGUUCCUUAGUUCUGUCACUUCCAGUUCACAGCAAUCAAGAUACAGUGAGCAUAACCAACUGCUCAGCAGAAGCGGAAAAUGCUAAUGAUCAAGAAAUUCAUCUAUGAGAUAUCAAGAACGUUCUGCCCAGUAUUGCAAAAGAUUUAUCUGUUGAGAAUGGUAACAAAUGGGACUACUCUCUUCCGGGAAAUGGAAAAGUUUUGUCAUUUGCUGCUUUAUAACUGGUAUGGAUGAUUGAGUCGAGUAGGAAAGACGAGAAAAUGUUCUAAUGUCUCGACUUACCUUUUAGCUGGCUUUGGCUAUUCAUGGACCAUCCAAACAAAAUGGUCCAGUCAAAAUCCAAUCACAUUUAAAGUUUUUGUGGUAAAAGAUCACAUUUAAUCCAGUUAUAUUGUUUGAUCGGAUUGGAAGUGA